CCAGCAGCCGCGGUAAUUCCAGCUCCAAUAGCGUAUCUUAAAGUUGCUGCAGUUAAAAAGCUCGUAGUUGGAUCUCGGGAUCGAGCUGACGGUCCGCCGCGAGGCGAGCCACCGUCUGUCCCAGCCCCUGCCUCUCGGCGCCCCCUCGAUGCUCUUAGCUGAGUGUCCCGCGGGGUCCGAAGCGUUUACUUUGAAAAAAUUAGAGUGUUCAAAGCAGGCCCGGUCGCCUGAAUACCGCAGCUAGGAAUAAUGGAAUAGGACUCCGGUUCUAUUUUGUGGGUUUUCUUCUCUGAACUGGGGCCAUGAUUAAGAGGGACGGCCGGGGGCAUUCGUAUUGUGCCGCU
rnacentral:rRNA from 1 species